AGAAAAAGCAAAGAGAAAAUUAAAUUGAAAAAGAAAAGGAAAAGGUCUUAUUCAUCUAGUUCUACCGAUGAAGACACUUCAAAGCAAAAGAAACAGAAAUCCCAGAAGAAGGAAAAGAAAAGAGAGAAAAAAAGCAAAACAAAAAAAGGAAAACAUCACAAAAAGGAGAAGAAGAAGCGAAAAAAGGAAAAACAUUCUUCAUCUUCUGAUAGUUCAGACUCCUCUAGUAGUAACUGAAACAUCUGCCCAUU